rnacentral:pre_miRNA from 12 species
GGAAUUCAAAAGGUGGAUGUUCCUUCUAUGUUUACAGGAUUUGUGGUUAAUCAUAGAGGAAAAUCCACAUUUUCAGCAUC